rnacentral:rRNA from 1 species
AGAGUUUGAUCCUGGCUCAGGACGAACGCUGGCGGCGUGCCUAACACAUGCAAGUCGAGCGGAGACAGUGAGUAGCUUGCUAUGAGCUGUUUUAGCGGCGGACGGGUGAGUAACGCGUGAGCAACCUUUCCCAGACAGGGGAAUAACACACCGAAAGGUGUACUAAUACCGCAUAAGACCACGGGAUCACAUGGUUCUGAGGUAAAAGAUUUAUCGGUUUGGGGUGGGCUCGCGUCCGAUUAGGUAGUUGGUGAGGUAACGGCCCACCAAGCCGACGAUCGGUAGCCGACCUGAGAGGGUGAUCGGCCACAUUGGGACUGAGACACGGCCCAAACUCCUACGGGAGGCAGCAGUGGGGAAUAUUGCACAAUGGGGGAAACCCUGAUGCAGCGACGCCGCGUGAGCGAAGAAGUAUUUCGGUAUGUAAAGCUCUAUCAGCAGGGAAGAAAAUGACGGUACCUGACUAAGAAGCCCCGGCUAACUACGUGCCAGCAGCCGCGGUAAUACGUAGGGGGCAAGCGUUGUCCGGAAUAAUUGGGCGUAAAGGGCGCGUAGGCGGCUCGGUAAGUCUGGAGUGAAAGUCCUGCUUUUAAGGUGGGAAUUGCUUUGGAUACUGUCGGGCUUGAGUGCAGGAGAGGUUAGUGGAAUUCCCAGUGUAGCGGUGAAAUGCGUAGAGAUUGGGAGGAACACCAGUGGCGAAGGCGACUAACUGGACUGUAACUGACGCUGAGGCGCGAAAGUGUGGGGAGCAAACAGGAUUAGAUACCCUGGUAGUCCACACUGUAAACGAUGAAUGCUAGGUGUAGGGGGUAUCGACCCCUUCUGUGCCGCAGUCAACACAAUAAGCAUUCCGCCUGGGGAGUACGGCCGCAAGGUUGAAACUCAAAGGAAUUGACGGGGGCCCG